rnacentral:rRNA from 1 species
UGCAUGUGUAAGUUUAAAGACCAAGUAGGAUGAAACUGCGGACGGCUCAUUAUAACAGUAAUAGUUUCUUUGGUUAGUCGGUACAAGGAUAACUUUGUGAAUGAUAAAGCUAAUACUUGAGACGAUCCGGGGAGUAUCAAUACUUUUCGGCCGUUGGCCGCAAGGCUGGCGAGAAACGACAUUCUCUUGUGAAACAGGAUGCCGCGACAAUUGAGGAAAGCGACGCUUUUAACAAGUAACCAAUGGGAAUUUCUGAUCUAUCAAUUUGUUGGUAGUAUCGAGGACUACCAAGAUUAUAACGGAUAACGAGGAAUUGGGGUUCGACAUCGGAGAGGGAGCUUUACAGAUCCCUACCACUUCUAAGGAAGGCAGCAGGCGCGUAAAUAACCCACUUUCGACUUGAAGAGGUAGUGACGACAAAUAACUCUUGGCGCCCUUCGGGGUGACUUGAAGGAAUGAUUUAGAAGUAAAUUCUCUAAAGAAAUCAAUUGGAGGGCAAGUCUGGUGCCAGCAGCCGCGGUAAUUCCAGCUCC